AAAACAAACGUAGUAAAAUAAACUCUUAAGAUUGUCUAUUGAAAUUUAAAAAAAAAUUUUAUUCUUAUAUUACAAAUUCAACAAAAUUUAGUCCCUUUGUUAUUGUUUAUGGUUUUCAUCUAUCGGUGUAGUACGCGAAUUCCAUUCAUAGCUAUGCUGUUAUUGUCUGCGAGCAUCGAAGCUAGCACCGAAAGAUUUCGGUGAAACAAGGGAAAAGGCCGUUAUUACAACAAAAUGCUUCGGUGCAAUAGAUUCUACCAGAAACUCCUUUUACCAUAAAGGACGGCUGGCUGCUUUAAAGAGGAGAACACAUAAAAAAUUGGCGUCAAAGAUAUUUUGUUGUACGGGAUUAUUGAUUAUUACUAGGAUCCAAGCAUAAACCAAAGCCAAACAUAGGACUUGCUGAACCACUCAACAAUUUUACUGUGAAAGGAUGCCAAAUUAUGAAAGCGAGGAUCAUCGAAAACCAUCCACCUUUCUGAUUCGAGGUCUUCAAUGGAUGAAUGUAAUUGAAAGGAGUUUUCAUUUUGAGUCUGAAAAAGAAAGGGAAGAAUGGAUGACUGCUAUUGAUUAUAGCUUCACACGGAUCCUGAUAGCAAUGAUGUGGAUAUGCCAGCCGUUUCUGAAAAAACGAUCUAAACGGCUCUUCGUAACCGUUAUCCCUAUCUAACAAAAUUGUUUCUUUGUCAAUAGAUGUUGGAAAUGAUGGAUUGCAAAUGAAAUUUCUCGUAACCAGACAGUCAAAUAGACCCCAUCAUUCAGGGAAGAAGAAAGUGGUAUGUAGUUGAAGAGACAAAAAUAUGUGGUUUAUUAUUAGUGAAGAUGGUUUAACCAUUUUUAACUAUUUCUUAUUCCACUUUCAUUCCCUUUUUGCCCCAAUAUAAGCGAAAGAUCUUCUCUGCUGUCUUUUAGCUAAGGAUCCACAUGAGUGAUUAGGAGGCGGCCCGAAAGAUCAAAAAGAAAUCACUCAACAUCCAUUUUUCCUACCAAUUUUUUCGAAAGAUAGAUUUCAACAGAAGAUACGUAGACGUGCAGUUUGUAUUUGAAUGUUUUGAUUUUACCCUGUCUCCUACACGCAUUUUCCACCACCGUUCAAAUGGUGAGUGAAACAGACACCCGAAACUUCAUUAUCUAUGCUUGUGCUCUAUAAGAGAAAUAAAUGAUUUAUA